rnacentral:rRNA from 1 species
AUUGAACGCUGGCGGCAGGCUUAACACAUGCAAGUCGAGCGGGGGAAGGUAGCUUGCUACCGGACCUAGCGGCGGACGGGUGAGUAAUGCUUAGGAAUCUGCCUAUUAGUGGGGGACAACAUCUCGAAAGGGAUGCUAAUACCGCAUACGUCCUACGGGAGAAAGCAGGGGAUCUUCGGACCUUGCGCUAAUAGAUGAGCCUAAGUCGGAUUAGCUAGUUGGUGGGGUAAAGGCCUACCAAGGCGACGAUCUGUAGCGGGUCUGAGAGGAUGGUCCGCCACACUGGGACUGAGACACGGCCCAGAGUCCUACGGGAGGCAGCAGUGGGGAAUAUUGGACAGUGGGGGGAACCCUGAUCCAGCCAUGCCGCGUGUGUGAAGAAGGCCUUAUGGUUGUAAAGCACUUUAAGCGAGGAGGAGGCUACUUUAGUUAAUACCUAGAGAUAGUGGACGUUACUCGCAGAAUAAGCACCGGCUAACUCUGUGCCAGCCGCCGCGGUAA